rnacentral:tRNA from 1 species
GGUCCGUUGGUCAAGCGGUUAAGACACCGCCCUUUCACGGCGGUAACACGGGUUCGAAUCCCGUACGGAUC